UGAGGAAUAUUGGUCAAUGGGGGCAACCCUGAACCAGCCAAGUCGCGUGAAGGAUGAAGGUCUUAUGGAUUGUAAACUUCUUUUAUACAGGAAUAAAUUGGGGGACGUGUCCCCUUUUGCAUGUACUGUAUGAAUAAGGAUCGGCUAACUCCGUGCCAGCAGCCGCGGUAAUACGGAGGAUCCGAGCGUUAUCCGGAUUUAUUGGGUUUAAAGGGUGCGCAGGCGGGAUGUUAAGUCGGCGGUGAAAUUUUGCAGCUCAACUGUAAAAGUGCCUUCGAUACUGGACUCCUUGAGUGUGGAUGAANUAGGCGGAAUUUGUGGUGUAGCGGUGAAAUGCUUAGAUAUCACGAGGAACUCCGAUUGCGCAGGCAGCUUACUAAGCCACAACUGACGCUCAUGCACGAAGGCGUGGGGAUCAAACA
rnacentral:rRNA from 1 species